AUUGAACGCUGGCGGCAGGCCUAACACAUGCAAGUCGAGCGAGCGGCGGACGGGUGAGUAAUGUAUGGGGACUGCCCGAUAGAGGGGGAUAACUACUGGAAACGGUAGCUAAUACCGCAUACUAUCGGAUAACCUAUAUGGGAUUAGCUAGUAGGUGAGGUAAUGGCUCACCUAGGCGACGAUCCCUAGCUGGUCUGAGAGGAUGAUCAGCCACACUGGGACUGGGCCACGGCCCAGAGUCCUACGGGGGCAGCAGUGGGGAAUAGUGCACAAUGGGCGCAAGCCUGAUUCAGCCAUGCCGCGUGUAUGAGGAAGGCCCUAGGGUUGUAAAGUACUGUCAGUCGGGAGGCGUUACCGACAGAAGAAGCACCGGCUAACUCCGUGCCAGCAGCCGCGGUAAUUC
rnacentral:rRNA from 1 species